rnacentral:rRNA from 1 species
UACGUAGGGUGCGAGCGGUAAUCGGAAUUACUGGGCGUAAAGCGUGCGCAGGCGGCUCUAUAAGACAGAUGUGAAAUCCCCGGGCUUAACCUGGGAACUGCGUUUGUGACUGUAGGGCUUGAGUGCGGCAGAGGGGGGUGGAAUUCCACGUGUAGCAGUGAAAUGCGUAGAGAUGUGGAGGAACACCGAUGGCGAAGGCAGCCCCCUGGGUCGACACUGACGCUCAUGCACGAAAGCGUGGGGAGCAAACAGG